CCCUGGCUCAGGACGAACGCGGGCGGCGUGCCUAAUACAUGCAAGUCGAGCGAACCAAUAGGAGCUUGCUCCUGUUGGUUAGCGGCGGACGGGUGAGUAACACGUGGGCAACCUGCCUGUAAGACUGGGAUAACACCGGGAAACCGGUGCUAAUACCGGAUAAUCCUUUUCCUCUCAUGAGGAAAAGCUGAAAGUCGGUUUCGGCUGACACUUACAGAUGGGCCCGCGGCGCAUUAGCUAGUUGGUGAGGUAACGGCUCACCAAGGCGACGAUGCGUAGCCGACCUGAGAGGGUGAUCGGCCACACUGGGACUGAGACACGGCCCAGACUCCUACGGGAGGCAGCAGUAGGGAAUCUUCCACAAUGGACGAAAGUCUGAUGGAGCAACGCCGCGUGAGCGAUGAAGGCCUUCGGGUCGUAAAGCUCUGUUGUUAGGGAAGAACAAGUACCGGAGUAACUGCCGGUACCUUGACGGUACCUAACCAGAAAGCCACGGCUAACU
rnacentral:rRNA from 1 species